AGUGAACGCUGGCGGUAGGCCUAACACAUGCGAGUCGAACGGCAGCACAGUAAGAGCUUGCUCUUACGGGUUGCGAGUGGCGGACGGGUGAGGAAUACAUCGGAAUCUACUUUUUCGUGGGGGAUAACGUAGGUAAACUUACUCUAAUACCGCAUACGACCUACGGGUGAAAGCAGGGGAUCUUCGGACCUUGCGCGAUUGAAUGAGCCUAUGUCGGAUUAGCUAGUUGGCGGGGUGAAGGCCCACCAAGGCGACGAUCCGUAGCUGGACUGAGAGGCUGAUCGGCCACACUGGAACUGAGACACGGUCCAGACUACUAAGGGAGGCAGCAGUGGGGAACAUUGGACAAUGGUCGCAAGCCUGAUACAGCCAUACCGAGUGGGUGACGAAGGCCUUCGGGUUGUAAAGCCCUUUUGUUGGGAAAGAAAAGCAGCAGCUUAAUACCAAGCUGUUCUGACGGUACCCAAAGAAUAAGCACCGGCUAACUUCGUG
rnacentral:rRNA from 1 species